AACGAACGCUGGCGGCAGGCUUAACACAUGCAAGUCGAACGCACCGCAAGGUGAGUGGCAGACGGGUGAGUAACACGUGGGGAUCUGCCCAAUGGUACGGAAUAGCUCCGGGAAACUGGAAUUAAUACCGUAUGAGCCCGCAAGGGGAAAGAUUUAUCGCCAUUGGAUGAACCCGCGUCGGAUUAGCUAGUUGGUGUGGUAAAGGCGCACCAAGGCGACGAUCCGUAGCUGGUCUGAGAGGAUGAUCAGCCACACUGGGACUGAGACACGGCCCAGACUCCUACGGGAGGCAGCAGUGGGGAAUAUUGGACAAUGGGCGCAAGCCUGAUCCAGCCAUGCCGCGUGAGUGAUGGAGGCCUUAGGGUUGUAAAGCUCUUUCGCCGACGAAGAUAAUGACGGUACCUGCAGAAAAAGCACCGGCUAACUACGUGCCAGCCGCCGCCGUAAUAC
rnacentral:rRNA from 1 species